AGAGUUUGAUCCUGGCUCAGGAUAAACGCUGGCGGUGUACAUAAGACAUGCAAGUCGAACGGGAGAAGACUGGAAGAUUUAUCUACUAGUUGGACACCGUGGCGGACGGGUGAGUAACACGUAAGCAACCUGCCUAUAAGAGGGGAAUAACAGUGAGAAAUUACUGAUAAUACCGCAUAAGCUGGAGGUAUCGCAUGAUACAUUCAGAAAAGAUUUAUCGCUUAUAGAUGGGCUUGCGUCUGAUUAGCUAGUUGGUGAGAUAACAGCUCACCAAGGCGACGAUCAGUAGCCGGAUUGAGAGGUUGAACGGCCACAUUGGGACUGAGACACGGCCCAGACUCCUACGGGAGGCAGCAGUCGGGAAUAUUGCACAAUGGAGGAAACUCUGAUGCAGUGACACCGCGUAUAGGAAGAAGGUCUUAGGAUUGUAAGCUAUUGUCGUGUGAGAAGAAAAUGACCAUCACAGGAGGAAGCCCUGGCUAAAUAUGUGCCAGCAGCCGCGGUAAUACAUAUGGGGCGAGCGUUAUCCGGAUUUAUUGGGUGUAAAGGGUGCGUAGGCGGGAAAAUAAGUCAGUAUGUGAAAUCCCUCGGCUCAACUGAGGAACUGCAACUGAAACUAUUUUUCUUGAGUGUUGAAGGGGAAAGUGGAAUUCCUAGUGUAGCGGUGAAAUGCGUAGAGAUUAGGAGGAACACCAGUGGCGAAGGCGGCUUUUUGGCCUGUAACUGACACUGAGGCGCGAAAGCGUGGGGAGCAAACAGGAUUAGAUACCCUGGUAGUCCACGCCGUAAACGAUGAGUGCUA
rnacentral:rRNA from 1 species